UAUCCGCCUGGGAACUACGAGCGUCAGCUUAAAACCCAAAGGACUUGGCGGUGCUUUAGAUCCACCUAGAGGAGCCUGUUCUAGAACCGAUAAUCCCCGUUAAACCUCACCUUUCCUUGUCUUAUCCGCCUAUAUACCGCCGUCGUCAGCUUACUCUGUGAAGAACCCGUAGUAGGCACAAUCGGCACAGCCCAAAACGCCAGGUCGAGGUGUAGCGAAUGGAAAGGGAAGAAAUGGGCUACAUUCAAUAUAAUGAAUACGGAUGACAUCCUGAAACGGAUGUCUGAAGGAGGAUUUAGCAGUAAGCAGGGAAUAGAGUGCCCUGCUGAAAUUGGCCCUGAAGCGCGCACACACCGCCCGUCACUCUCCCCGAGCUAACGAAAGCACAUAAUUAAUAAACCAGACCUGCAAAGGGGAGGCAAGUCGUAACAUGGUAAGUGUACCGGAAGGUGCACUUGAGAAAAUUCGAGGCAUAGCUUAACAGCAAAGCGUCUCCUUUACACCGAGAAAACGCUCGUGCAAAUCGGGCUACCUUGAGGCCUAAUAGCUAGCCCCCAACCAUUUAAAUUCAAUUAAACCCCGUAAAUAAACCCACACACACUAAAUACACAAAACAAACCAUUUUUCCCUCUGAGUAUAGGAGAUAGAAAAGAAGCUCGGCGCAAUAGAAAAAGUACCGCAAGGGAAAGCUGAAAGAGAAAUG
rnacentral:rRNA from 1 species